CGCAGGGCGCAGGGAGGUGGGGCUCGAGACGGCGCGGGCCAGGAAAGAGCCCCCGGGGCGGCGGGGGUGGGGGCGACGCCCGGAGCUGGGCUGGGGGUCACGGCGGAGAUGAGGCAGUCGCCGGCGGGGAGUCGAGGCGCUGCGCGAGGAAGAGGACCCGGGAGGGUGAGCCCGCGGUCCGCACCUGCGUGUCCGGGAGGGGGCAGAAGAUUGCGUGCUGAGUGCGGGCUGAAGGUGUCUGUGCACCCUCCCAUCACUGGACCUGGCAGAGAGAGACCCCAUUCAGGGCCUGGUGUGUCCAUUUGAACUGACUCAACUAGGAAAAGUGCAAGUUGCUACAAAUGAAGUUUCCUGGGUCUAGGGGCUGCUCAUGGACAUAUAAGGAUAAGGAGUAUCACUGGGCUUGGAAGGCUCCUUCCUCCUCUCCUAGGGCAGAACUGGUUUCAUGUCCUUGUAACAAGCCUGUGAUGCUUCCAGCAGCUGUGACACUUUGCCCCCUCUGGGGAUUGGGGGGUGGGCACGUCGCGCUCCCCUGGAUUCUCCUCACACUUGUGAGAGUGCCAGUUACGCUGCACCGCUGCCAACACUAAACAAACUUCUGAACACGUGCCCUCCUCGAUGAACCCACAGUGAUCUCUUUGUUUUGCCUUCUCCCAGCUCAUGCAUUCUUCAAGUCUUGGUAACCGGAAUGUUUUGUCUGUUUGGGCUCCAGACGUUCAGUGGGACAGGAACCAAAGUUAAGUACCUCAUGACACGUCCAGACGAACCUGAGAAAAUUGUGAGCUGUUGACUGCACUGCCUCUCUGAAUCAGCUGGUACUUCUUUUUGUCUCUAGUUUUAAAAGCUCCCCAGAGGGGACUUGCCUGGUGGCACAGUGGUUAAGAAUCUGCCUGCCAAUGCAGAAGACACGGGUUCGAUCCCUGGUCCGGGAAGA